UACGUAGGGAGCUAGCGUUGUUCGGAAUUACUGGGCGUAAAGCGCGCGUAGGCGGAUUGUUAAGUCAGGGGUGAAAUCCUGGAGCUCAACUCCAGAACUGCCUUUGAUACUGGCGAUCUCGAGUCCGGGAGAGGUGAGUGGAACUGCGAGUGUAGAGGUGAAAUUCGUAGAUAUUCGCAAGAACACCAGUGGCGAAGGCGGCUCACUGGCCCGGUACUGACGCUGAGGUGCGAAAGCGUGGGGAGCAAACAGG
rnacentral:rRNA from 1 species